GAUGAACGCUGGCGGCGUGCCUAAUACAUGCAAGUCGAGCGAACGGACGAGAAGCUUGCUUCUCUGAUGUUAGCGGCGGACGGGUGAGUAACACGUGGAUAACCUACCUAUAAGACUGGGAUAACUUCGGGAAACCGGAGCUAAUACCGGAUAAUAUUUUGAACCGCAUGGUUCAAAAGUGAAAGACGGUCUUGCUGUCACUUAUAGAUGGAUCCGCGCUGCAUUAGCUAGUUGGUAAGGUAACGGCUUACCAAGGCAACGAUGCAUAGCCGACCUGAGAGGGUGAUCGGCCACACUGGAACUGAGACACGGUCCAGACUCCUACGGGAGGCAGCAGUAGGGAAUCUUCCGCAAUGGGCGAAAGCCUGACGGAGCAACGCCGCGUGAGUGAUGAAGGUCUUCGGAUCGUAAAACUCUGUUGUUAGGGAAGAACAUAUGUGUAAGUAACUGGGAACAUCUUGACGGUACCUAAUCAGAAAGCCACGGCUAACUACGUG
rnacentral:rRNA from 1 species